GAUGAAGACGCAGCGAAAUGCGAUAACUAAUGUGAAUUGCAGAAUUCCGUGAAUCAUCGAGUCUUUGAACGCACAUUGCGCCCCCUGGUAUUCCGGGGGGCAUGCCUGUCCGAGCGUCAUUGCUGCCCAUCAAGCACGGCUUGUGUGUUGGGUCCUCGUCCCCCCCGGGGGACGCGCCCGAAAGGCAGCGGCGGCACCGCGUCCGGUCCUCGAGCGUAUGGGGCUUUGUCACCCGCUCUGCAGGCCCGGCCGGCGCUGGCCGACGCGAAAGCAACCAUUUUUUCUCCAGGUUGACCUCGGAUCAGGUAGGGAUACCCGCUGAACUUAAGCAUAUCAAUAAGCGGAGGA
rnacentral:misc_RNA from 1 species